rnacentral:rRNA from 1 species
GAAUAUUGGACAAUGGGGGGAACCCUGAUCCAGCCAUGCCGCGUGUGUGAAGAAGGUCUUUUGGUUGUAAAGCACUUUAAGCGAGGAGGAGGCUACUCUAGUUAAUACCUAGAGAUAGUGGACGUUACUCGCAGAAUAAGCACCGGCUAACUCUGUGCCAGCAGCCGCGGUAAUACGGAGGGUGCAACCGUUAAUCGGAUUUACUGGGCGUAAAGCGCGCGGAGGGUGGCAAUUAAGGUCAAUGUGGAAAGCCCGAGCUUAAAUUGGGAAAUGGAAUCGAUAAUGGGUGGCUAGAGGAUGGGAGAAGAUGGGAGAAUUCCAGGUGGAGCCGUGAAAUGCGUAGAGAUCUGGAGGAAUACCGAUGGCGAAGGCAGCCAUCUGGCCUAAGACUGACACUGAGGUGCGAAAGCAUGGGGAGCAAAC